AUGGCCUUCUCAAGAUCUAAGUAACUAACUACUAACUUGUACUUUCCUCAAGUUUUUCUGAUUCAAUUAAAGUUGUUUGAGGAGUGUCACAGUUCUGAUGGCUUUAUGAAGAAACUUGCUGAACAGAUGUUUGUGAAUUUCAGCAAAUAUUGGUCUGAGUUCAAUAUUUUGUUAGCCAUUGCUGUGGUAUUUGAUCCUAGAUACAAAUUUCAGUUUCUUGAGUUUAGUUAUCAAAAAUUAUAUGGUUCAGGGUCUGCAGAACUAACAAAGGUCAGGGAUACAUUUUUUAAUCUCUUCAAUGAAUAUGUUAGAGUUAGUAAGAUGUCUCAGCCAUUAUCUCUUGUUCUCAAGGUAGCAAUGAGAUGAAUGAGACCUCUUUUGAUGCAGCAGAAGUACAAGGAAAACAAUCAGCACAUGUUUUCAAGAGAUGACAGAUUUGAGGCUGGAGGAUAUAACUUAAGACAUCAUGUCUUUGAACAUAUCAAAAGAUGAUGUCCAAUUUGUUGAAGAUUCAAACUCUAAUGUGGUCAACCUCUAAGUCAUUGACUUUGGGUACUUAAAAAGUACUUGCAUUCCUUGAUUUAGUGAAGUUUGGAAGUUGGAAGAGAAGUAUCAAUUCACUAUUUGAGCUUGGAACCUGGACCAGUGAUUAUGUUUCAGUUUUAUGUCUAUUUUAUUGCUAUUUAGUGUUUAUGGCUUGCAGCCAUUGGGAUUUGAUGAUGAAUUGAUGAUAUGGGACUUGUUAUUAUCUUAUGUCUUUUUAGUUUUCAUUGCUUGUGGCCA